AGCGCUGCGAAUCGAAGUAGAAAGCUGCGUGACGAUCAACGAUGCGGUGAUGACCCCCGGCCAGACUGCGAUAAUAGCUUUCUUGGCUGUCCUUGGCGUCUUCGUUGGAGCUGGAACUAUCGUCGACAUCUACUUGUCAUAUAGAAAAACGACCGACAAAGGUGAACAGAAAACAUGGCUUAAGUGCGUCACCUCUUUCUCAGCGCUUCACAACACACGUGCUAUCUUCACCAUAGCACGCCCAAAACACGCUGGUGAAUUUGAUCUAACCUUCAUUCACGGACUGCGGUUCUUCAGCUUGGUAUCCAUUGUUCUUGGACACAGCUAUGGUGUCAUGUCUGACG